AGAGUUUGAUCAUGGCUCAGGAUGAACGCUGGCGGUAUGCUUAACACAUGCAAGUCGAACGGGCUCUUCGGAGCUAGUGGCGGACGGGUGAGUAACGCGUGAGAAUCUGGCUUCAGGUUCGGGACAACAGUUGGAAACGGCUGCUAAUACCGGAUGUGCCUUAUGGUGAAAGAUUUAUCACCUGAAGAUGAGCUCGCGUCUGAUUAGCUAGUAGGUGUGGUAAGAGCGCACCUAGGCGACGAUCAGUAGCUGGUCUGAGAGGAUGAUCAGCCACACUGGGACUGAGACACGGCCCAGACUCCUACGGGAGGCAGCAGUGGGGAAUUUUCCGCAAUGGGCGAAAGCCUGACGGAGCAAUACCGCGUGAGGGAGGAAGGCUCUUGGGUUGUAAACCUCUUUUCUCAGGGAAGAAUGAUGACGGUACCUGAGGAAUAAGCAUCGGCUAACUCCGUGCCAGCAGCCGCGGUAAUACGGAGGAUGCAAGCGUUAUCCGGAAUGAUUGGGCGUAAAGCGUCCGCAGGUGGCAAUGUAAGUCUGCUGUCAAAGCGUCUGGCUCAACCAGAUAAAGGCAGUGGAAACUACAUAGCUAGAGUAAGGUAGGGGUAGAGGGAAUUCCUGGUGUAGCGGUGAAAUGCGUAGAGAUCAGGAAGAACACCGGUGGCGAAAGCGCUCUGCUGGACCUUAACUGACACUGAGGGACGAAAGCUAGGGGAGCGAAUGGGAUUAGAUACCCCCGUAGUCC
rnacentral:rRNA from 1 species